CCUACGGGCGGCAGCAGUGAGGAAUAUUGGUCAAUGGGCGAGAGCCUGAACCAGCCAAGUCGCGUGAAGGAUGACGGCCCUACGGGUUGUAAACUUCUUUUGUCAGGGAGCAAAUGAGUCCACGUGUGGUCUUAGCGUGAGUACCUGAAGAAAAAGCAUCGGCUAACUCCGUGCCAGCAGCCGCGGUAUUACGGGGGAUGCGAGCGUGAUCCGGAUUCAUUGGGUUUUAAGGGUACGUAGGCGUAAUAUCAAGUCAGCGGUAAAAAUUCGGGGCUCAACCCCGUCGUGCCGUUGAAACUGAUGUUCUUGAGUGGGCGAGAAGUAUGCGGAAUGCGUGGUGUAGCGGUGAAAUGCAUAGAUAUCACGCAGAACUCCGAUUGCGAAGGCAGCAUACCGGCGCCCAACUGACGCUGAAGCACGAAAGCGUGGGUAUCGAACAGGAUUAGAUACCCGUGUAGUC
rnacentral:rRNA from 1 species